AAGGUAUAAAAGUUUAAUACAAUUAAUCCCAUUAUUUAAUAAAUAGAAACAUUUUCUGUGUUCAUUCCCAAAUGUCUAUUUAAACCCAAAACAUACCCCACGCCCUCGGUGCAAAUAAAUGGGAAAAAAUAAAUGAAAGAUUGCUUCUUUUCACUAAGUCUUUAUGUAGUUCAUUGUUGGCACUGAGACUGGCAUGGCCACAUCAAUUAAUGUAAUGUAAGAAAGCGGAAUAAGAAUCCAUUUCACAGCCCGCUACAUGUUCCUGAUUGUCUAGAUGUGACCUUUAGGACAAUCCUAAUUGACAUCCAUCAACAUGAGUCAACUUAUUCCGAUUUGAAGAUAUCACCUUGUGCAACUAUUUCCACUUUCAGGAAAAGUAAUCGGCUAUGCGGAUUCAAAACCUAGCUUCCCGGGAUGGAGGCAUUUCUGGAGGACAGAAACCCAGAUUUGUCUUGUUCCCUGAACAGGAUUUUUUUUUUCUCUCUCCAUCUCAUUUUGUUUAUCCUAAUCCUAAUCCAUACUUUCUCCCCUUCUUCUACCCAUCUCUAAUUUUGCCUUGAAGUUAUCUGCAGAUUUAUCCUCCCCGUCCAUCCAGCAUUUCCUUUCUGGGGUGUGUCCAGGGGACUGAAGUUAUAGCUCAUUCUGCUUGUUCAUCAUGACACAAAAUAAUAUUAGUUACAAAGAGUGUGACCCCUGCCCUGGACAUUGACAUCUGAAUGGAAAAAUUGAGUCAAUCUCCACUAGUCACCUCAUGGCUAUUUAAAAAAAUAAAAAUGAGUUUAGUGAAUUACCCUCUCACGCAAUCUUAGUGUUUGUGGUGUGUUUUGCAUGUAUGUAAUGUGUGUGUUGUGUGCUGGCUGUAGGUGACUGUGAUACACUCUCUGAUACAAACUCACAUUCAUGCACACACACACUCUGACCCAUACACACAAACUACACAUUAUCUGACGCACACACACUCAGCAGUCUCAUUAAGUAUUUCAAUUACUAGCAGGUGCCAGGAUGUUUCAUUGUUUAGGUGUGGUUGUGCAGCCUGUCUCAUGCUCUCUGCCAUGCAGUGCCAGCCACGAGGUUCUGAUGUUACUAUGUAUCCCUGGUGGCUUCAACCCUGUGCAUUACAAGGAGUAGCUGGCUGUUGCCACUCCUUGUUCCUCCCUGUAAGCCAUUCUCAAGCAGCAGUCGGCCUCAGCUAUAGCGGCACACCGGAAAAUUUCCAGAUAGGCCAGUCCAGCUCUGCACUGGAUGAAGGUACACUCCGUGGCUAACACUAUCCCUCCCGUGGCAGCCCUGAAUAAACAAAACACUUGCUUCCUGGCACCUGGAACUGCAUGGCCUGGGUGUUGGGCAAUAUAAGUUUCACAUCCCUGCUUUCCAAUAAAACUGUAAUGGGGAUUGAGCUUAACAUAGCCAUAGCUGUUCAUAUAAUUCUACUUCUUACUGCUGCUUAUCCUAUUUUCAUUAUUACCGUAUAGUGGUUCUCUUGAUCCUACAAUAUAGUUUAGUGUAGGAAAAAAGGCAAUUAGACACUGUGAACCUAGAGAUGUGGUCCUAACAUCAGCAGGUGCUGCCCAUGUUGCCAAGUAGACUUCUUCAUUUUGCCUAUGGCUCAGUUGGCCUUUCUCAUGUGUGAGUCCUCUGAUGUCUGACUAGAUGUGAACUCUGUGUGAAACAUUUCCCACAUUUAUAACACGAAAAAGGUUUCUCUCCUGUGUGGAUCCUCUGGUGUAUAACAAGAUGAGAGAUUUGACUGAAACAUUUCCCACAGUCAUAACAAGAAUAUGGCUUCUCUCCAGUGUGAAUCCUUCGAUGGACAAUCAGAUGUGAAACCCGCGAGAAACAUUUCCCACAAUCAGAACAGGAGAGCUUUUUUGCUCGGUGUACAUAUUGAUGUUUAAGAAGAUCCGAAGUGCUAGAAAACCAUUUCUGACACUGAGAACAGCUGUGUAUCAUGUCUGAGAUGGACAAACCUUGGUGGGAAUGAGCUAGUGCAUUACCAUUUGUGGUUGAUUCAAUACUCCUCAUUAAGGACAACCCAUUAUGUAUUACAUGUGUAUUAAGAGGCCCACUGAGGUGGUCUGUUACAUGUUUUGAUCUACAUUCCCUCUGUUUAUGUUCUGUGGGUGUAUACAAAUUAGUAUAUGUGAGGAUUCCUUCUUCACAUGUGGGUUCCUGCUUAAUAUAAAUAGAUGCAUGUGCUGUCUGUGCCUGUUCUUUGGGUGUGUAGAUAUAUGUAUAAGUGAGUUUUUCUUCAUCAAAUAACGUUGGUUCCUCCUUAAUUUGAGUAGAUGUUUGUGUAGGGAUAUACAUGUUGAUGUUUGGGAGAUUUCUUUCUUCGCACAAGGCUGUUUUCUCCUCAUUGAUGUAUUCUGUAGGUUUAUAAAUGUAAGUGUGGAUUUUACCUUCACGUGAGGCUGAUUCCUCCUUAAUAGGAGUAGAUGGACAUCCUGUCUGCGUAUGUUCUGUGUUUGUAUGAAUGUCAAUGUCUGUGAGAUUUCCCUUUGCACAUGAAACCAAUUCUUCCUUAAUAUUAAUGGAUGCAUAGUCUGUCUGUGGAUGAUCUGUGGAUGUGUAAUUUCCUACACAAUCCUUUGACCUGUGAGCAGAAAUGUAGUUCAUUUGUGGCUGUUUUGCGUUAGUACAAAGUUCUGUGAGACAUCCUUUACCAUGUGAGCCUUGUUCCUCUUUAAUAGAAUCAGAGGUACAUUUUGUCUGUCUAUGUUGUGUGCGUUCAUGAAUUUCAGAGGCCUUCAGAUUUUCACUUUCAAGUAAGGCUAAUUCCUCAACUUUUACACAGGGGUAUUCUGAGGGUGUAUAAACGGGGGUGCCCCUGUUAUUGUCUUCUACACUUGGGAUACAUUCCUUUGCUGUAGUCCAGGUAUCAUUACGCUGCUUCCUGUUCCUUGUGCUUUGUUCUUUUUUGGUUAUUUCACUGACCCUUUUAUCUUCAUUUCCACAAAACUUUGAAGGAGCAAAAAUGUUAAGCCCAUCACUGACAGGUGUGAUCCUUGGUUCAUC